UACUUUAGGGAAAGAAUUAUUCUCUUGACAAAUACUUUAUAGUGCUUUUCAUGGGGGAGAAACUUCACAUCUGAACAAUGUGUAUUCCCUCUUCUUUAGGAAUGCAUGAUUAAUUGAUAGAUCCACAGUUGAUGGAUAUAAAUGAACAUCCAUAUACUCUGGAUACAAUUUUGAUUCUUGGUGGAUCUUGUUACAGUUUGCCAAGUGAUUAUCACAUUCUCAACUUGCUUCCUGUAGGUUCAAAUUUAAUAUCAUAACAUUUUUUUUUCCAAUUUUUGAAAUAAAAAAUAGAAUUGUAGUUAAUGAUCGCAGUAUUUUGUAUGUUUAUGUGUAACUAUGAAAAAGGGUUGAAAUGUCGUUGAUGUACAAACUUGUUGCGCAGUGUCAUUACAGCUAUAGUGCG
rnacentral:misc_RNA from 1 species